rnacentral:rRNA from 1 species
GACGAACGCUGGCGGCGUGCUUAACACAUGCAAGUCGAACGGAAAGGCCCUGCUUUUGUUGGGUGCUCGAGUGGCGAACGGGUGAGUAACACGUGAGUAACCUGCCCUUGACUUUGGGAUAACUUCAGGAAACUGGGGCUAAUACCGGAUAGGAGCUCCUGCUGCAUGGUGGGGGUUGGAAAGUUUCGGCGGUUGGGGAUGGACUCGCGGCUUAUCAGCUUGUUGGUGGGGUAGUGGCUUACCAAGGCUUUGACGGGUAGCCGGCCUGAGAGGGUGACCGGCCACAUUGGGACUGAGAUACGGCCCAGAAUCCUACGGGAGGCAGCAGUGGGGAAUAUUGCACAAUGGGCGGAAGCCUGAUGCAGCAGCGCCGCGUGCGGGAUGACGGCCUUCGGGUUGUAAACAGCUUUCGCAUGUGACGAAGAGUGAGUGACGGUAAUGGGUAAAGAAGCACCGGCUAACUACGUG